rnacentral:rRNA from 1 species
UUCCGGUUGAUCCUGCCGGAGGCCAUUGCUAUCGGUGUCCGAUUUAGCCAUGCGAGUUGUACGUAUAACGUAGCAAACUGCUCAGUAACACGUGGCCAAUCUGCCCUAUGGACUGGGAUAACCUCGGGAAACUGAGGCUAAUCCCGGAUAGCACAUCCAGCCUGGAACUGGCGGAUGUGUGAAACGCUCCGGCGCCAUAGGAUGAGGCUGCGGCCGAUUAGGUAGACGGUGGGGUAACGGCCCACCGUGCCGAUAAUCGGUACGGGUCAUGAGAGUGAGAGCCCGGAGACGGACUCUGAGACACGAGUCCGGGCCCUACGGGGCGCAGCAGGCGCGAAACCUUUACACUGCACGCCAGUGCGAUAGGGGGACACCGAGUGCGAGGGCAUAGAGCCCUCGCUUUUCUGUACCGUAAGGUGGUACAGGAACAAGGGCUGGGCAAGACCGGUGCCAGCCGCCGCGGUAACACCGGCAGCCCAAGUGAUGGCCGAUAUUAUUGGGCCUAAAGCGUCCGUAGCUGGCCGGGCAAGUCCGUCGGGAAAUCCACGCGCUUAACGCGUGGGCGUCCGGCGGAAACUGUUCGGCUUGGGACCGGAAGAUCCGAGGGGUACGUCUGGGGUAGGAGUGAAAUCCCGUAAUCCUGGACGGACCACCGAUGGCGAAAGCACCUCGGAAGGACGGAUCCGACAGUGAGGGACGAAAGCUAGGGUCUCGAACCGGAUUAGAUACCCGGGUAGUCCUAGCUGUAAACGAUGCUCGCUAGGUGUGGCACAGGCUACGAGCCUGUGCUGUGCCGUAGGGAAGCCGUGAAGCGAGCCGCCUGGGAAGUACGUCCGCAAGGAUGAAACUUAAAGGAAUUGGCGGGGGAGCACUACAACCGGAGGAGCCUGCGGUUUAAUUGGACUCAACGCCGGU